AUACGAAGGGGGCUAGCGUUGUUCGGAAUUACUGGGCGUAAGGCGCGCGUAGGCGGAUUGGUCAGUUAGGGGUGAAAUCCCAGGGCUUAACCCUGGAACUGCCUCUAAUACUGCCAGUCUUGAGUUUGGGAGAGGUGAGUGGAAUUCCUAGUGUAGAGGUGAAAUUCGUAGAUAUUAGGAAGAACACCAGUGGCGAAGGCGGCUCACUGGCCCGAUACUGACGCUGAGGCGCGAAAGCGUGGGGAGCAAACAGGAUUAGAAACCCUAGUAGUCC
rnacentral:rRNA from 1 species